rnacentral:rRNA from 1 species
UACAGAGGUCUCAAGCGUUGUUCGGAUUCAUUGGGCGUAAAGGGUGCGUAGGCGGCGCGGUAAGUCGGGUGUGAAAUCUUGGAGCUUAACUCCGAAACUGCAUUCGAUACUGCCGUGCUUGAGGACUGGAGAGGAGACUGGAAUUUACGGUGUAGCGGUGAAAUGCGUAGAUAUCGUAAGGAAGACCAGUGGCGAAGGCGGGUCUCUGGACAGCUC